GCGAGAUCAAGGAGAGAGACUGACACACACCUCACACAUUGGAGUUUGGAGUCACUGUGCAGCCCAGAAAGAAGGCAGAGUGUGAGCGAAUGGGCCCGGGGUCUGCGCAGCUCCACAGCCCUCUCUGCCUCUAAAGUGUGCUGAGCGCUGCUCCGCUCUGCGCUGCCUGUGCCUGUCUCAGCUCCCGUCCGCCACAGCUGAGAGAUACAAAGAUACCAAGACUGAAAGAGAACGCUACAAUCAUGAAGCUUUUCCUUGCAUCGGCUCCACAGCGCUACUCUUGAGGUCUGAUUUGCUUUGGUGCCAGAUCUGCAAUUGACAAUGAGGGUGAAGAGAUGAACUUGCAGCUAGAAGCCCGGUCCCUGCAGUUCCUGCCACUGGACAUUUAGUGAUUAUUACUACACACAAGACGAUGUCCCUGUCUCCCAGAUAGCACUUCUGAGGACAAGGCCUUCACAGCACACAUCGUGCAC
ensembl:lncRNA